rnacentral:tRNA from 1 species
GCCCGAGUGGCGCAACGGUAGCGCAGCCGAUUUGUAAUCGGCAGGUUAGGGGUUCGACUCCCUUCUCGGGCUCCA